GCCUUGAGCCUUUAAUAACUAUGUAUGGGAUAUAAUAGGUUUAUUUUUUCCUUUCUUAAAUCAUUCAUGGAAGUUUAGUAAGUUCAACUUUGAAAAAAGAAAUGAAAAUUGAAGAAAAUCAUGUAAGAAUCUCCAGCCUAUGUCAGAACCAUUUUGUUUCAACUGAAAAUUGAAGAAACUACUUAAAUUGAGGCUGAUGUUCUCCGUGGCGCAGGCGUUAUGACAAACUAGGGAGGGAAGGAUUUUGGGUUCAAAUCCUAUCUUUGUUCUGAAGGAAGAAAGGAUUAAAAUUAGAUGGAAAUGCUACCUUUGUAACUUCACUCUGAUUUUUUUUUUCCCCUCUUAAUUUUCCCUUAAAAUUCCUUCCUUAUAUAUAUAUAUAUAUAU
rnacentral:misc_RNA from 1 species